rnacentral:rRNA from 1 species
GGCUUAGGAUGAACGCUAGCGGCAGGCUUAACACAUGCAAGUCGAGGGGCAUCGGGAGUAGCAAUACUGCCGGCGACCGGCGCAAGGGUGCGUAACGCGUGAGCAACAUGCCCGUAUCAGGGGGGAUAAUCCAUGGAAACGUGGUCUAAUACCCCAUAGUAAUUAUGUAAGGCAUCUUAUAUAAUUUAAAGCUUUGGUGGAUACGGAUUGGCUCGCGUGACAUUAGCUGGAUGGUAAGGUAACGGCUUACCAUGGCUACGAUGUCUAGGGGUUCUGAGAGGAAGGUCCCCCACACUGGAACUGAGACACGGUCCAGACUCCUACGGGAGGCAGCAGUGAGGAAUAUUGGACAAUGGAUGGAAAUCUGAUCCAGCCAUGCCGCGUGCAAGGAAGACCGGCCCUAGUGGGUUGUAAACUGUCUUUUGUAUGGGAGCAAUAAGGGCUACGUGUAGUCCGAUGAGAGUACCAUACGAAUAAGCACCGGCUAACUCCGUGCCAGCAGCUGC